GCUAAAAAUCUAGCCCAAUUUUUUAUAAAUGUCCCACGAAUUAAACUCAUAAAUAAACCAUUUUCUUAAUUUAGUAAAGGCGAUUGAAAAAUCAAUUAGAGCUAUAAUAAUAGUACCGCAAGGAAAAGAUGAAAUAAACAUGAAAUAGACCUCAAGCAUAAAAAAGCAGUGACAUAUCCUCGUACCUUUUGCAUCAUGAUUUAACUAGUCUAAUCAAGCAAAAAGAACUUUAGUUUGACUUCCCGAAACUAGGCGAGCUACUUCGAGGCAACUUAAUGAGCCCACCCGUCUCUGUUGCAAAAGAGUGGGGAGACCCCCAAGUAGCGGUGACAGACCUAACGAGCCUGGUGAUAGCUGGUUACUUAAGAAAAGGAUUUUAGUCCUACCUGAAGCAUUAUUAAUGCUACUAAACAUCCAUUAAUGCUUUAGAGCUACUCAAAUGAGGUACAGCCCGUUUGAAACAGGAUACAACCUAGACUAAUGGGUAAUUUUUAUUCAUGCACCUAAAUAAGUGGGCCUAAAAGCAGCCACCUUUAGAAUAGCGUCAAAGCUUUCCUACCACAUGAAUUAAUUUCACCAAACACCAAAAACCCUUUACUUGUAUUAAGUUAUUCUAUAAUUUUAUAGAAACAUUUAUGUUAAAACUAGUAAUAAGAAGACAGACCUUCUCUUAGAUGUAUGUGUAAAUCAGAAAGGACUAACCGCUGCUAAUUAAACAUCAAUGAAUAUAAAGCAGUAACCUAACCAGAAAAUCCUGUUUUUAUUUAUGUUAACCUAACACUAGCACAUCUCAAGAAAGAUUUAAAGAAAAAGAAGGAACUCGGCAAAUAUUAACCUCGCCUGUUUACCAAAAACAUCGCCUCUCGGCCUAUAUGAGAGGUCCAGCCUGCCCAGUGACUAAGUUCAACGGCCGCGGUAUCCUAACCGUGCGAAGGUAGCGUAAUCACUUGUUCUUUAAAUGAGGACUAGUAUGAAUGGCACCACGAGGGUUACACUGUCUCCUUUUUUUAAUCAAUGAAACUGAUCUUCCCGUGAAGAAGCGGGAAUGUAAAUAUAAGACGAGAAGACCCUAUGGAGCUUUAAACAAUAAUAGCACUGGCCCACACCUUUGAUUCUCCUGAGAGAUAAUUAUUAUUUAGACCAAUAUGACUAUUAGUUUUAGGUUGGGGUGACCGCGGAGCAAACACCAACCUCCACGUUGAAUGGAGCAACUCCUGAGCUAAAAGCUACAACUUUAAGCACCAAUAAACUGACAUUAAUUGACCCAACAUGUUGAACAACGAACCAAGUUACCCUAGGGAUAACAGCGCAAUCCAUUUCAAGAGCCCCUAUCGACAAAUGGGUUUACGACCUCGAUGUUGGAUCAGGGUAUCCCAGUGGUGCAGCCGCUACUAAAGGUUCGUUUGUUCAACGAUUAAAACCCU
rnacentral:rRNA from 1 species